UUAAAUCUAUAGGUGAACGUGUAUGGUAGGCAGUUAUCAAUGGCUGGAAGCCACCCACAGUUACAACUGGUGAAAACACCAUCUCAAAAGAUGUUUCAGAGUGAGAUAGAACCGAUUAUGAAAACUAUGGGUGGAAUAGUAAAGCUAUUAAUACUAUCUUUAAAGGUGUCACAGCUGAGGAGUUUCGUAGAAUCUCACACUGUGAACUUACUAAAGAGGCUUGGGAUAUUUUACAGAUCACCCAUGAGGGUACGACUACUGUAAAAAUUGCUAAGGUUUAUGAUUGGACUGCAUAAUUGUAGUCCAAGCGCCGUUAAACUGACCUAAAUUGGCCCUAGAUUAGUUUAAUUAUGUAAUUUAUCCAUAUAUUGCACUUAUAGGCGUAUUUUGUUCAUUGUAGGUUAUAAUUGAUAAAGGCAAGAAAUUGGAAGCCAUAAAAGUAGAACGGUAUAUGAAGAAAGAAAGGCUCGAUACAUUGAGCGUUCGAACGCCCAAGCAAGGGGAACCAGCGUUCGAACGCUGGAAGAAAUUUGGGAUUUUGGUGGAAGACCGUUCGAACGCUUACCAGAAAUUUGGGCGUCCGAACGCCAAGAGGAAAAAUUGAUGAAGACCGUUCGAACGCUCCUGCGUCAGUUCGAAAAGAAAGUGCGAUAGUUGAAUUAGAGAGUUCGACGCUCUGCUUACAGUUCGAAAAUGUGAGACUUAAAAGUUAGAUUUUUGUCUAAGUGUUCGAACGCUAAAGGAAGAAGAAAUUUGGGGCGUUCGACAAAACGCCAGAGAAAAAUCAGAAGAUGUACUGAGCGUUUGAAAAUCCCAAUUGAAGAAGAAAAGGGCGUUCGAACGCCAAGACAACUCCUCUGGGAAGAUUUCCUACUCCUGUUUAGGACGUCGAAUUGAAGUGCCUAUAUAUAUCUCGUUCUAUCUUUUGACGGGGGGACGUGAUUUUUAGGGUUUUUCUUUUUCUCAGCCUUUAGUUAGUUUUCAAAGUUCUUUUUUUUCAUUAUUUCUUGUAAUUUUUAUCAUUAAAGUCUUGUUUGUUUUUAAGUAAUUAGGAGUUUUAGCCAUUGAAUCAUAUUUUUCAAUCUUUCUUUGUAUUGAUUUAAUUAUCCUGGUUUUAUAAUCAUUAGAUUAGUAUUUAAUUUAGAAUGCAUUCAAUAUUAGAUUUUUUGUUUACCCUAGCCAUGAGUGGCUAAGUUUUUCUUACUUGGAAUCGAUUCAUAAAGUCAAUCGGAAUCAGGAUGAACAAUGGAGUAAUUUAUUUUCACACCGUUAGAUCUUUCUAAAAUUUUUAUUCUUCUUCUUUACGAUCUAAAUAUUUUCGAAAACUUGGGAGUCCUAUGUAUGUUCCUAAACAUUCGUGUUUUAUUCGAUCGAUGAUGCCACUACCAUGAUACAAAAAACAACCGAUUUUAAUUUACUUUCGAAAACUUGGGAGUCCUAUUAUGUUGAAUAACAUCCCCCCCCCUUUGUGAUGCGAAUCGAUGAUGCACCUACCUUAUCAUAUGACCAACAUAUUUAUUUAAGGUGAAGUAAGUAAGAAUAUUUGGGUUUCAAAAGUUAAAUUUUCCGAAUCUCAGACUCUAGAAUAGUCGAAAGGAGUUGAGUGUAUACUAUACUCUCAUUGGGAUUCCGAGAAACUCGUUGACUAGAUCAAGCGCUUCUGGGUUCCCUUUAAUUAUCAGUUAAAUCAAGUUUUUAUUUUGUUUUUAUUUAAAUUUAGUUCAAACCUCAUCAAAAACCAAAAUUAAUCUUUUUAUUUUUAAUUUUAAACAUACGUAGAACUUUGGUUAGGAUUCCAAUCGGUAGUAUUUUAAGUUAUCUUGUUUGUCACCUUUGCACUGUUCCUUGUGGGAUCGAAUACUCGUACUUCCGAUUUUAACUACUACUUUCGCGACCCGUACAACACUUUCUUUUGCGGUACGGAAUCACUUCUGGGAGCGAAUCAGUUUAAACAUUGACAAUAACCUUUGACUUUGAGAAUGGAAGACGAUGAAAUAUUUGAUCAAUUCUAUUUUAAACUAAGUGACAUCGUGAACUCAAGUUUCAAUCUUUGUGAACAAAUCUCUCAAAAAAUUGUUCGAAGAAUUUUAAGAUUUUUACCUGAGAGAUUUCAAGUUAAGGUAACGGCAUAAAAGAAAGGAGGGAUAUUGAUGCCUUGAAAGUUGAGGACUUAGUGAUCCUUACAAACUUUUGAAGUAAAUUUUCGUCAACCAAAAAAACAUAAAGGUAUUGCCUUGAGUUCUUCUAAAGAAAAAACCAAUGAGGAAGAUGGCAGUGACUCAGAUAUGGGUAUCGAGAAAAUAGCCUUAUUUGCCAAAAAAUUUUAAAAAAAAUUCAAUAAACGACAACAAGAUCAAUCUUCCUCACUUGAAAAAGCUAAAGGAAAAUCUUUUGAUAAAUUAAAGUUUGUAAGGAAAUCCACUGAUAAGUCGAGUCAAAAACAAUGUUUUGAAUGUCAUGGUUUUGGGCAUAUUGCUACGGACUGUCUAAACAAAAAGAA
rnacentral:lncRNA from 1 species